rnacentral:rRNA from 1 species
UCNUACGGGAGGCAGCAGUGAGGAAUAUUGGUCAAUGGACGCAAGUCUGAACCAGCCACGUCGCGUGAAGGAAGACGGCCCUACGGGUUGUAAACUUCUUUUGUAAGGGAAUAAAGUGAGUCACGUGUGACUUUUUGCAUGUACCUUACGAAUAAGGAUCGGCUAACUCCGUGCCAGCAGCCGCGGUAAUACGGAGGAUCCGAGCGUUAUCCGGAUUUAUUGGGUUUAAAGGGUGCGCAGGCGGGAGAUUAAGUCGGCGGUGAAAUUUUGCAGCUCAACUGUAAAAGUGCCAUCGAUACUGGUUUUCUUGAGUGUGGAUGAAGUAGGCGGAAUUUGUGGUGUAGCGGUGAAAUGCAUAGAUAUCACAAGGAACACCGAUUGCGCAGGCAGCUUACUAAACCAUAACUGACGCUCAGGCACGAAGGCGUGGGGAGCAAACAGGAUUAGAUACCCUGGUAGUCCACGCAGUAAACGAUGAUUACUAGCUGUUUGCGAUACAAUGUAAGCGGCUGAGCGAAAGCGUUAAGUAAUCCACCUGGGGAGUACGUUCGCAAGAAUGAAACUCAAAGGAAUUGACGGGGGCCCGCACAAGCGGAGGAACAUGUGGUUUAAUUCGAUGAUACGCGAGGAACCUUACCCGGGCUUGAAAUGCAUCUGACCGGCCUUGAAAGAGGUUUUCCCUUCGGGGCAGAUGUGUA